AGCAGCCGCGGUAAUUCCAGCUCCAAUAGCGUAUAUUAAAGUUGUUGCAGUUAAAAAGCUCGCAGUUGAAUUUCGGGAUCAAGGAAUCGGUCAUGCCUUGGUAUGUACUGGUUUUAUUGGUUCUCACCUUCUAAAGAACCAUAAUGUCAUUCAUUUGAUGUUAUGGGGAAUUAGGACUGUUACCUUGAAAAAAUUAGAGUGUUUAAAGCAGGCUUACGCUUGAAUACAUUAGCAUGGAAUAAUGAAAUAGGACGUUCGAUCCUAUUUGUUGGUUUUUAGGAUCAACGUAAUGAUUAAUAGGGAUAGUUGGGGGCAUUAGUAUUCAAUUGUCAGAGGUGAAAUUCUUGGAUUUAUUGAAGACUAACUACUGCGAAAGCAUUUGCCAAGGAUGUUUUCAUUAAUCAAGAACGAAAGUUAGGGGAUCGAAGACGAUCAGAUACCGUCGUAGUCUUAACCAUAAACUAUGCCGACUAGGGAUCGGAUGAUGUUAAUUUUUUAAUAGUACUCAUUUCGGCGCCUU
rnacentral:rRNA from 1 species